GAUCGAGCCAUGGGAGCAUCUCUGAAUUAAAGCGGCGUACGGGUGAGCACACGUGGGUAAUCUACCUUUAAGUGUGGAAUAACCCUGGUGACAACGGGGCUAAUACCGCAUAAUCCUGUGAAGGGAAAGCAGCAAUGCGCUGAAAGAGGAGCCCGCGGCCGAUUAGCUAGUUGGUGAGGUAACGGCCCACCAAUGCGAUGAUCGGUAGCCGGCCUGAGAGGGCACACGGCCACACUGGCACUGAAACACGGGCCAUACUCCUACGGGAGGCAGCAGUGGGGAAUCUUGCACAAUGGAGGCAACUCUGAUGCAGCGACGCCGCGUGAGCGAUGAAGCCCUUCGGGGUGUAAAGCUCUUUCGGCAGGGACGAUAAUGACGGUACCUGAAGAAUAAGCUGCGGCUAACUACGUGCCAGCAGCCGCGGUAAU
rnacentral:rRNA from 1 species